CUGCCAGCCGCCGCGGUAAUACGGAGGGUGCAAGCGUUAUCCGGAUUCAUUGGGUUUAAAGGGUGCGCAGGCGGAUACUUAAGUCAGUGGUGAAAUCCCGGGGCUCAACCCCGGAACUGCCAUUGAUACUGAAUAUCUGGAAUACGGUUGAAGUGGGCGGAAUGUAGCAUGUAGCGGUGAAAUGCAUAGAGAUGCUACAGAACACCGAUCGCGAAGGCAGCUCACUAAGCCGAUAUUGACGCUCAGGCACGAAAGCGUGGGGAGCGAACAGGAUUAGAUACCCUGGUAGUCCACGCCGUAAACGAUGAUAACUCGUUGUUGGCGACACACAGUCAGCGACUAAGCGAAAGCGAUAAGUUAUCCACCUGGGGAGUACGAUCGCAAGGUUGAAACUUACAAGGAAUUGACGG
rnacentral:rRNA from 1 species